AUUUGCCUUCAUUCUCUCAUCUGAUUCUCCAGGACCAUGGCCAUACAUGUGCAGAGUACCUGUCUGGAUUCAGAGUACAGUCUGGCCUGCAGGACAUAGGUGCUAAACUGGCACCUACACAUCAAAACCAUAAUCUCUGCCUCACUAGCUCUAUCUAAUCUCCUGAGCUAAACUACGACAGAUAUGCAAACUCAGAUGGGCCUUAGAAGUGAAGCAGGUGCACAUGCAUUGUGGCCUUGCUAGUGGUUUCUACUAGAAGCUUCAUGAAGGGCAAAAGAAGUUGCUAUCUCAUUAUCUGUAGUGAAGUGCUGCUGAAAUGGAAGCUCCAUAAGGGAAAAUGGUGUCUGCAUUGCACGUAGUAGGCCCUCAAUAAACAUGACAUAUGAUGUUUAA